CUCUCUCUCUCUCUCUAUCUGUGUCUGAGGCUACAUUCACCAAACCCUCGCCGCUUCACGCGAAGAGGAGGACGACGAAGAAGGGGGCGAGGAGCGCGGCGGCGGAGCCAUGGGCGGCGGCGGCGAUCACCACGGAGGCGGAGGCCACGGCCACGGGCAUGGCCAUGGCGGAGAGGCGGGGGAUUUCAGGAAGAAGGUGUGGAGCAUGACGGGGGGGCCCUACUGCCGCCCCAAGCACUGGCGCCGUAACACGGCGAUCGCCUUGGCCGGGAUCUUCCUCAUCUGCGUCCCCAUCGCCAUGAAAUCUGCCGAGCUCAAGUAGGGAGUAAAUCGAGAUGGUCGUUGAUGAAAAGGUAGGCAAGAGCAACGAGGACGAAGGCGAGGCGACGGAGGAGGGCGAAGGGAUGUGGGCGAGUGCAGGGCAGUGGAGGAGGGCGAGGCGGUGAGGCGGCGGGAAGCGAAGCAACAGGAAAGAGGACAAAGGAGUAUUUUUGGCAUAAAAAAAUAUUUUAUAACGGAACCCUAACGGUAGGGGUGAAGUGCACAUUUUUUAUUUUACAAGAAGGCAAAGUAUAUGUUUUUAAAUGACAGGGAGAAAAGUGAAAAAUUGAGUCUUGACGGGAGGAUUUUUUGUAAUUUGGCCUUAAAAAUUUAUCAAAAUAUUAUUAUUUUUUUAUUGUAGGAUAAAAAUGAGACGAC